rnacentral:lncRNA from 1 species
UACAUUAUUGUACAGACUUUUUAAAAUGGAAGUUUGUAUGUCUUGACCAAUGAAUGUAAUAAAGCUUGGCGAUUUUCCUUAGAAAUUCCAGGCUAUAAUGCGAUGUGAAGGUCUUUCCAUUUUUACAAGGAUUUGAAAAAGGAUGUCAUUAAUAAUUUUCCUGGGUGCUUACAAAGCAUGUGUCUGUCAGCAGAAUUAGAGAACUGCCCAACUAGAGAACAGGUUUCACAAUAGCCUGAGAUGAAUUCUGUUCAUCAGAGGAGAAAAUGGCUUGUUUUAAGCCUAAAUUGACAUGCUUGCUAAUUUCAGCAGUAGAAGCUGUUUCUUGUGGUCAGGAUUAAUUUAGAGUCUGGGAAAGUUCAAGUGAAAGUUGAUGGAGUUACUUUUAUAACACACUUCUCAAGGGAACUUGAAAAUCUCAAAAGUAAACAGAAGUAGAGCAAACAUCAAGUAAUAUACCUGCAAGUAAAAAGCAAAUACUGAUAUUAACAUUUGAGAGUGAACUAAUAUGAAAUCAAAGAAAAAUAAUCUAGUAGUUACUUCUUAUCCAAAACUUUUCAAGUAUUAAAAAUAACUUUCACUAUUUAUGUAACUAUAACAAAUACAUUGUUCACUGCUACAUCCAGAGCCCUUCGAAUAUGUAGAGUUUGAAAAACAUGUACUAAUAUGAAUGAAUAAUAUGGGUGCAUUUCUCUUUUGACUACAUGGAUUUGUUUCUUUAUCAAGUCUGAGUUGAGUAUUUGACUUUCUCUGUAGUUUCAGGGUAACAUUUUUAAAGUAUAUAACCUAUUAACUAUAAUCCUGCAGUUAAGAAGAGGUCAGCUCUCUGUGUCACAGAUUACCAACUUUAGCAUUCUAACACUGGAAUGUGUCUCGUUUUAUAAAAUCUGUCUGCAACUAUAGUUCCUAUUUUAAAAUUUGUCCAGCACUGUUCAAGUUACUUAUUCCACUUACUUCAAUAGCUGUCUUUGGCAAUUUGUUCCAUAUUUCAAACACACUUUUAUAUAAAGAAACCAUAAAAGUUAGAAACCUGAAAAUUGGAUUUUUCUUCUGAGCAAUCACAACUUACAAAUGUGGAAGAUUUGUUAAAAGCUAGCCCCUCUGAUUUUUCAAUGCACACAGAGAAAAAUGCUCUAAAUAAAUGUACAAUGUUUGAUCAAGUUUUCAUACUAUUUUAAUAUUAUCAGAAGCCACUGAGAUUAAAUCUGAAGCCUGAUCCCCUUACCUAUUCACAAAGGAAAUACGAAAGAAUGAUCCAGCUUUGCCCUUUCCAAAACCAAAAUCCUUAGAAAAUAAUUUUGAGUCAAAGGGCAUAAGAGAUAAGUAAGGUCCAGAUCUAUUACUAGCUACCAAAUUUCAUCUUUCAUUUUUUUAGCAUUGCAUUUGAAGUCUGACAAUUUCUAGUUUUGUUAUUAAGAGAACAAAAAUAAGAGAUAUACUGCAGCCAGGGGAGCAGGUAGUCUAACUGAAGUUCUUCACUUCUUCCUGUUCCAAAUCUAAUCCCCCAGUUGCAUCACUAACUCUGUAGCAGACUAUCUGCAGUAGCUUCUCUUCUCCCCAUACCCAGCUCUCCAGUGGAUCACACAAUCUUUCCCUACUAAUACCCCUCCCUCCACUCAUUGUUUUAUUCAUGCACUUUCUGGGAGCUCAUAGGCUACUCUGAGGAAGGAAACAGGUAGGCUAACUAAUGAUCAGAAAGGAAGCAGUCAAAGAAUCCUUAUUUCCAGAUGAUAUGAUUGUAUGAAUAAGUGACUCCCAAAAUUCUACCAGAGAACUCCUAGAGCUGAUAAACACCUUCCACAAAGUGGCUAGAUACACUCAAAGAAAUCAGUAGCCCUCCUACAUACAAAGGACAAAUGGACUGAGACAGCAUCAGGUUAGUAGCUCUGUCUCUGGGAGCUUCCUGGAGUCUGGGUUAGUUGAGACUGCUGGUCUUCCUAUGGAAACACUGCCUCCUUCAGCUUGUUCAAUCCUUCCCCUAAUUCAACCUAAUUAGGUGUCCCCAACUCCAGCUCAAUGAUUGGGUGUACAUACCUGCUUUGGAGGCAAGGGGGAAGAGGAAAGAGAUGAAAAUCUGUGGGAGGGAGCCCAAGGGAGUAACAAGACUCAAAUGU